UACAAUACUUACGUCAAAAUUUUUGAAUCAGUAAAUUUCAAAAUUUUAGUACAUCUACAUACGUUUCUGCAUAUUUUAUAAAUUUCAGUAUUACAAAAAUGGUUAAUUACAAAUUAAGUUAUAUCCCUUACUGUUUACCAACUUUACCGUUUCAAAUUCUAUAUCAGCCCGUGAAUAGACUACCUUUUGUAUUGAGUCCACCUUGUUGUCCCCCCAAGAAUUGUUCUGGACGUUGCUAGAACCAUUUCAAAUUGUUAAUGUAUAUGCUUUUAAAAAGCGUCGCAGAUGAAGAAAAAGAAACUUCCAGAAAAAAUAUAAAUGUCAAAAAUUGUGCAACAAAAAGAAUGUAUUGUAUAAGUAAAUAUAAAAUGUAAAAGUUUAAA
rnacentral:lncRNA from 1 species